UACGUAGGGGGCUAGCGUUGUCCGGAAUCAUUGGGCGUAAAGCGCGUGUAGGCGGUCCGGUAAGUCCGCUGUGAAAGUCGGGGGCUCAACCCUCGGAUGCCGGUGGAUACUGUCGGGCUUGAGUACGGAAGAGGCGAGUGGAAUUCCUGGUGUAGCGGUGAAAUGCGCAGAUAUCAGGAGGAACACCGAUUGCGAAGGCAGCUCGCUGGGACGUAACUGACGCUGAGGAGCGAAAGCGUGGGGAGCGAACAGG
rnacentral:rRNA from 1 species